CUAAAGUCCAGUUGCGACUCUAUGAACAAUAUAUAGGAAGGCACAUAAGAUACCACAGUCAAAACUAAUAAUUUCCACUGGUGGCGAGGUGGAGAGGGUGACGUGCCACCACUGGCUGUAUAGUGGCCAGCUUGCUGUGCGUGGUAGCCUCAGACGCCACAUUUACACAGAAUGCACUGAAUUCUUGUUCUGGCUGGCUAAUAAC